rnacentral:tRNA from 1 species
GCGUUAGUAGUUUAAUAAAAACAAAUUCUUUCUAGGUAUGAAAUAAGGCAUAUGGCUUUUUAAUGCA